UUUUGUACUGCUUUUCGAUUUCCAAGUUCAAAGGCACUAGAUGUUCCUUUCCUUUGGAUCUCGUGAUCAUACACGCCUGAGACAACAAACAAAAACAGAAAUUUAAAAAACUAGAAAAAUAAAAAAAAAUAAACUUAUAACACCUGAAAUAAUGCUUAAGUCUAAUUAGAAAUAUUAAAGUCAAUUCUAAACAGUCCCCGGCAACGGCGCCAAAAGUUGAUCACUAAAUAUUAGCAACAAAUUACCGCAACUAACACGGUGCAAUUGUAGCACAAAUUAAGUAACCGAGUAUCGUAUCCACAG
rnacentral:lncRNA from 1 species